CGGAAGUCAAAACACGGAGUUGAACCCUAGCCUCAGCUCUCCCCGUCAACACCAGCCAUCAACCUGAAAAACAUUUGAAAAUAUUUGGGCUAAGUACUAAUGUACUUAGUGGGCUACAACUUUUAAAACAUUUCACAAUUCGUAAGAGCAGUUUAUCCAAUCAUUCAUGACAUGACUUAGAAGGUUUUAAAACAAAAAGAACUUCUAAGCAUGUUAAAGUAUUUCAUUUUAUUAGCGCGCCAUUGUCACACUCUGUUUAGUUACUCGCUGUGAUACCGGACCUUUUAGCCACCGACGUAUCGCUUUCUCCCAUGACACUUGCCCUGAGGACGUAACUCAGACAAGUUGAAUUGACCUCGGGACGCUACCCGGGCAGGCCUUACAUGAUACAUGAUACAUGCUCCGGAACACAUCCAGCAGCACCCUUAUAACGCCUCUACAUGAAUUAGUGCCCGAUGGAGAUCAACCCACCGAAACAACUAACAAGUGUACACAAUUCUCAAACAACGUGUUAGGUCAUAAGAGAACCUCGAUCGAUCCAUGAAUUGCGAGCCUUAAACAUAACAGAGCGCACAAAAAUAUUUAUUGGAUAAACAGUUUUCAAUUCAUGAAACAUUUAGAGCUUAAUAACUCAAGAUACAUUUGAAAAAUAAGCCCACCUGUAUAGGCAAUGCUGUCGUUAAUUUAUCUCUGAAUCGAAAAGUGCUAAUCCUCACGAUCCACGAAGCCUACAAGAAAUCUAUACUCUUAAUAGGUCUCCUAAUCUAAAUCUAAGCAUAGUAAGUGCUUAAUAUUUAUAAUUCACUUAGCCGGGUUUUCAAAAUUUAAUGAAUAAAUAAUUGAAAACUAAAAUUUUUGAGUUAAGGACACCAACAAUAUCCUUACUCGUUUUUCUUUAUUAAUUGGAUAACCAAUUAAAUCAUAAAUACUUUUAUUGCAUCUGCAAGUGCAAUACAUGUCAUGCUUUAAACAUAUAAUAAGUAAUCACUUAAAAUAUGCACAUAUUAAUAAUAUAAUAUUAUGCAAUUAUACCUUGAAAUUAUUAAUUAAUCAAACCCAAGUAUAAGGUCUAAUUAAUAAACUAAUUGAACAAUUAAAAUAGUGAAAUCCUAACUUUAAAACUAAAUAAAUAGCAGCCCAACUCUUUAACAUAAAACAGAGGCCCAAAACUUAAUUAAAAUCGGCCCACUUCCUAAAAAGAAAGGUAGCCCAUCUUUGGGCCCAACCCUAAAUCCAUCUUCAUUUUAACACACCCACACACCCACAACACACACAACACACGCACACACCCACAACGCAGCAGCUGCGCUGCACAACACUCCCCCUCCCCCUUCUUCCCUUCUCCGGCGACGGUAGGCGUCGUCGGCCACGCCGCCGCCCCCGACAACCCUCUCCCUCUCCCCUGCUCUCCUAUCUCCCUCAAACAGACGCCCAUCACCUCUCUCUCUCUCUUCACGUCGGAAGUCCGCCGCCGCGGAGACUCGCCGGGGAAGCAGCGGCGACAAGCCGCGCCACCCUCGGCUCUCCCUCCACUCUCUCGAAUUCCGCCCCCAUCACUCGCCCUCUAUCUCACCGAACCCAGAACUCCCUCCGACGACUGCACCAGACCAGCCGCCGCCGCCGCCUGAACUCCCUCCCUCCUCACUCAAAUUGGCCGACAGCAGCAGAAGAAGCAGACUGCCGCCGCACCCUCCACCUCCCUUUCGACUCCGCACUGCGCGCCAGAGAAACGGACUGCCGCCUCCCCCCUCCAUCCCUCCUCCUCCCUGUCAGAUCCGCGGCCGCAGCAGCUAGCGAGCUAACCACCGCCCCCCUUAGCCCUGCCUCCCUCUCUCUCUCUCCUCGGCCCGACAGCAGCGGGCAGAGCCGCCGUGCCGCGGCCUCCCUCUGUUCGCAUCUCUCUCAGAUCCAGCCAACACACACACACACCAGUUCAAAAGCAGAUACAAGAAUUCAAGACUCUACCUUUCUUUUCCUUUCAUUGUUAAAACAAAUCAUGUUUCGUAUAUGUAUAUAUAUACAAAUUUAUAUUCAAGCAUCUUCAGUUUGUUGCUUCUAAUAAGCAAUACAUGAGUUUGUUGACUGAGCUAUGCAUACAUAUAAUACAUAUAUAUAUAUAUGAAUGGUGGAAUAGAUGUGCGUGUGGGAUUUCUAGUUUGAGGUAGAGGUAAUAACCUUUAGAAAUAAUUCUGUUGUGUUGUUGAUUUGUGAUGGUAGAAUCAAUUUGUUGCUGCAGUUCGAAAGGUAUGUGUUGAAUCUGCUGCUGCAUACUAAAUGGAGCUUUGCACUUGAUUUUCUUUGUUUUGUUGGAGCGAGAGUAGGGAGAGAGAGGUGAGAGGAUUGAGUAGAGAAAAGUUUAAGCUGGCUUAUAGAGGAAGAUAGUAAAAAUAACUUAAUGAGGAAGUUAAAGUUUGGAUAGGAGUAAUUGAUAUUUAGAAUGAUAGGAUAAGUUAAGAACAAGUGGAUGGUAUAUAAAUAAAAUAAAAAUUAAUAUCCAUGGCUUUAAUCAAAAUAGUUUUGAAUAAAAAUUCUUGAUCACUCAUCAGGAAUGACUAGCACGGGCUCUUGAAUUAAUACACAAAUUUAAUAAAAUCAGUCCAAAACUAAAUUACUAAACUCCGACACGCAUUAACAAUCAAAGUCGUAAAUAGACUUUAAUUUAAAACUUGUUCAAAUAAAUAAUGAUAUAUUAUACAAUCGCAUAUUCAUAUAAUUCAAUCUAUGUGUAAUGCACAAAGAUUAAGAAACUAAAAUUGUAAGAAGCUUUUGAAAAUAAUUUUGUUGGAAUUAAAAAUAAAUCAUUCAUUUUCAUUUCUCCGGCAUAGAUCAUCUUAAUCUAAUCUUAAAAUAAAUUCUAAACUUAAUAGGAAUGGGCGGGGUAUUACAUCCCUCCCUCCUUAUAAAAAUUUCGUCCUCGAAAUUUCAUAUCUGGGCCAUCUAGUUUGGAAUACUAGACGUUCAUUCCAUUCAGCUCUUAUGCGACAUCGGAACAUAUAGGGCCUUAAUUUUCUAACAGCGCGUCAUCGUUCUUCAAACCCGAAAUUUUCUUCAAAAUCUGGUACAUCAUUAUGCCGUGGAGUUCGUCUUCUCUUUUCUUGGAGAUUGGAGCGAGGUCUUUCUCUCGCUACAAGGUAUUGUAACGCUGACUUGUGUAAAUCUAUCAAUUCUAAGAUUACGUCAAAUUCUAUCGUCGAAAUAACACGCAAGUCUAUCUAAAUGUUUCAGCGCCUAUAUCAAGCUUUAAGUUCGAGAUAACGUCCUUACAUCCGGCUCUCCACCGUCAGUUGUCCUAACUUUUUAACGUGUUUCAGACGAUUGUAAUGUCAAUCUUUCUUACAGCAGCAUUGAAGAAAGAUAUCUCCAGUAUCAAACUAACUAUAAUCGACACGUCGAAAAUAUUAAUCGUACCUGCUAAGUUUCCCCGAUCUCCUGCCUCUUGGCGCUGGUUAAGGGCAUAGGCUCUAACGUAUCGUGGUUGUCCCUGGUAUCCUCCAGGACUUUGGUUCUGUCGUGUCGGUUCCCGGGAUUUUGUUGUUGUGGCGCUCCCCUCUUUUCUUUGGGCAUGCUGAAGCAAAAUGCCCUGUUUCUCCGCAGUAAUAACAACAUUCGUUCCUUUCAUGCAUUCCCCUAAAUGGGUUUCCGACACUUUGGGCAAGGUGGUGGAGUUAUCGCUUGCGACUGUCGUUCUGGUGCUGAUUCGGUUUGAUUAGCAACCCAUGGUUUCUUCCACUUCAUUCCAGAGUUCCCCCCAGUUUCCUCAUCCAUUCUUUUUCCUUUACUAAUCUUGGGUGGUACAAAUCCAGACUGUCCGGGAGCUUUUCUUUUCUCUUGGCAGCAGUGAUUCAAUGUGAGGGCUCUGCUCAAUGUUUGCGCGUAGGUGAGACCUCCUUGACUUGCAAAGAAAUCGCUAUCUCAUGGCGCAAUCCAUUUCUAAUUUUUCUGCACGCUUCUCAUCAUGUCCACCAGCGUCGGAGCAUAUCUUGAUAGUGAUUGAAGGCUCUAUCGUACUCAGUCACUGUCCACGCCCUCUGCUUCAGAUUCCAGAACUCAUUCUGCUUCUUCUGUCUAUAGCAUCCUGGUAUGUACUUCUCAUACAACACGUCUUAAAAUCUUCCCAAGUAAAUUUUCCCACUGUUCCUCAGUCAUUGUGCGUCUCACUGAUUCCCACCAGAAAUCGGCUUCGUCCACCAGUUGGUAGGUUGCACAAGUUACUUUGUCUUCGUCAUCGCAACGGAUGUAGUUAAAGAUACGCUCUAUAGCCCUAACCCAUUUUUUCGGCGUCUGUUGGAUCGCCCAGCCCGUCAAACGUUGGAGGUUUUUCCUUGCGAAACUUCUCUUCAGCAGUACGAUUUGGGCUACUUGUUGGAUUGGCUCUUCAUGGAAGAAUCCCCUGCGCUCCGCGACCACGACCACGUCCUCGCCCCUACGCGUCCUCUUGGUGCGUCUUCCAUUCUGGUUUACGGACGAUAUCAACACAUCAGUGAGACUUCUUCUGCAUACAUACAUUCAUAGAUAUAUACAAGAUAUAUCGCUUCUAUGGUGUAACCAUGUGAAAGACUAGUUCUAUGUAGAAACAAAUCUUAACUUAAGUGGAUCCUUGAUCUCAUGACAUUGCUUCUACGUUGUAACAUAUCUAUGUUAAACGUUGCUAUCUUAUCAUUCCUUACUUAAAUCGAUCAAGCGGAGCUAUCACGACUAACAUUUCUAAAGUAUCCUUAGGUAGUACUCAAACGGUUUGUAAGAGGACUUAUCAUUCAAAUCGUAUAGGCUGUGAAAACCUAAAACGAUAACAUAAAACCUUUCAUUCAUUCAAUCAUUUGUUUCUUUUGAAACCUUAAAAACAUUUGGACAGUGCAUGUCCCUUUCAUGAAAACUUUUCUCAAGUCGGAAAGAUUUAGGAAAUCUAACUCGAUCAUAAAUUCAUUGAUUCGUUAAGGGCUCGGGUAGUCCCAAACACGACAUACAUAGAUUGGUUAUAUGAGUCGGAGACUCAAAAUAACAAUAUGAAAGCGAUAAGCAAUUCAUAUAACAUCAUUCAUUGAAAGCGCGCACUUCUUGAAAACUUGAAAGCAUUUAAAAUCAUUGAAACUUUUAAAUCGUACCUUUUCGUUGCGGCAGUGUGACGGCGAGCUGAGGGUCAACAAUUUUUUCUUAGAAGUCUAGAGAUACUAAUCUAGACUCGAUGUUAGAAGCUUAUGGUUAUCAGAGACAUGAAAGAAAACUUAUGCUCUGAUACCAUUAUGUCACACCCCAAUUUCUGAAGGAAUAACUAUAACUGAGGUGCAACUAAAUCAUUGAAAUGAACAAGGGAAAAACCUUGUAAAAUACGAAUAAUGGGAUGAUAAAUCGGGCUUCGCCCCUUUGGAUGAAGAAGGACAGAUAUCCAAACGAUACUAAUCCAUCGACAAACAUUACAACUUCAGGAUCGCAAGUUUAGUUUCAUGCUUCGGAUAACCAACAUUCAUUAGUCGAAAUACUUGAGAGUCAAAGAGUCUAAGUUCGUCAAAAUAUAUCAUUUAGAGUCAUAACAUAAAAGUCUUAAGUCAAGGAAACGAAAGACAAAUAAAGGCUAGUACUACAGCGGAAGUCAAAACACGGAGUUGAACCCUAGCCUCAGCUCUCCCCGUCAGCACCAGCCAUCAACCUGAAAAACAUUUGAAAAUAUUUGGGCUAAGUACUAAUGUACUUAGUGGGCUGCAACUUUUAAAACAUUUCACAAUUCGUAAGAGCAGUUUAUCCAAUCAUUCUGACAUAACUUAGAAGGUUUUAAAAAAACUUCUAAGCAUGUUAAAACAUUUCAUUUUAUUAGCGCGCCAUUGUCACACUCUGUUUAGUUACUCGCUGUGAUACCGGACCUUUUAGCCACCGACGUAU
rnacentral:lncRNA from 1 species